rnacentral:lncRNA from 1 species
GUUGUGCUGGAAAAUGUGUUGGGCUCUGUGGGGGCCAGACGUGAGGAGCUGAGGGCCAGUGUGGAUCUCCAGCAGCAGUUUGAGAGGCUGCUACAUAGCCUGGAAGUGCUGGUCACCCUGGGCUCAGAGCGUCUCUCACAGAGGCCUGGUCUGGAGCUCCACACCAGGACUGAGUUACAGGACUGCCUUAGCACACAUUCGGUGAGCGCACACCAUUCAGGUCCUCCAUUGUGUACUGAUCCUAUCAAGUGCGAUUAGAUAGCUACCUUGGAUUCAGUUUUCAUUCAGCCACCAUAGCAACCAAGAGAUGACUUCUUGUGUAAUCGUUGGUAUUGAAACAGCCUGCAUUGAUGCUAUUGAUCUUUCUUCCUGCUAUGGUUCUUAUGGAUUUCACAGAAGUUCUUCCAGUUCCUGGGGAUCCACCUGGGGACCCUGCAGCACCUAUCCACGAGAGUCUCAGAGAGCACCCUCCAGAGGUGGGAGGGAGUGAUGAGGAGCCUCCAGGAGAGGGUGACCCAACUGCAGCAGCAGGCCCUGGAGAGAGGCACCAGGAUGCAGCAGAUAUUACAGAUAUGGACACAGUGGGAGGAGGAAAGUACCAGUCUGGACACCCUGCUUAGGGAUAUGGAAGCUGGCCUGUCCAAGAUGCACCUGGAGGAGGACUCAGUGGCACAGAUUUGCGAGAAACUCUCUGUCUAUCAGAAAAUGAGAGCAGUCCUGAAUGAGAGUGGGGCAAAGUUCAGCCGGAUGCAGGAGCAGGGGAGGUGGCUGAAGGAGGCGGGUUGCCAAGGGGUGGGUGUGUUUGGGUGUGGCCUGGAGGCUCGCUGGACCACCUUUCACUUGAGGCUGGAGCAACAACGAGUCAGCACAGAUAGGAACAGGAAACUGUGGAGCAGGUGAGGACUUUGAUACAGUGUUUAGAGAUGAGAUAUGAAAAUUCAUAAUUGCAUUUGGCAAGUUUUCA